GAUGAACGCUGGCGGCGUGCCUAAUACAUGCAAGUCGAGCGAACGGACGAGAAGCUUGCUUCUCUGAUGUUAGCGGCGGACGGGUGAGUAACACGUGGAUAACCUACCUAUAAGACUGGGAUAACUUCGGGAAACCGGAGCUAAUACCGGAUGAUAUUUUGAACCGCAUGGUUCAAAAGUGAAAGACGGUCUUGCUGUCACUUAUAGAUGGAUCCGCGCUGCAUUAGCUAGUUGGUAAGGUAACGGCUUACCAAGGCAACGAUGCAUAGCCGACCUGAGAGGGUGAUCGGCCACACUGUAACUGAGACACGGUCCAGACUCCUACGGGAGGCAGCAGUAGGGAAUCUUCCGCGAUGGGCGAAAGCCUGACGGAGCAACGCCGCGUGAGUGAUGAAGGUCUUCGGAUCGUAAAACUCUGUUAUUAGGGAAGAACAUAUGUGUAAGUAACUGUGCACAUCUUGACGGUACCUAAUCAGAAAGCCACGGCUAACUACGUG
rnacentral:rRNA from 1 species